GGGUGUGAAGGUGCUGUACUGUGCAGCGUGACACCAUCACAGCCACGCUGGAGGCAAAAGAGAACAUCCUGUAAAACAGUGACAGACCUGGCUCCGCUCCCUCUUUCAGGUAACCCCGGUGUGAACCCACAGACAGCUCCUGUAAAGAGCCCCUUGGAGCAGCACCACCUGCCUCACAGACCCCAGAGCAGGCACUGGCUGAAACAUGUGCAAGUUGCUUAUAUUUAGUGCCCAUUAAAACCCUCGUUACAGCUCUGUCCCAGUGUGCAGGCGCUGCAGCUGCAGUUUGCUGAUGUAGGACCUUUCUUCCUCCUCGGUGCAGGGCAUGAGCCAGGCAGAGAGCUGGAAGCCAGUGGUGGUGUGUGUCCAGGAGGUGAAAGGGGACAUGGCAGCUGCUGGGCUGUUGGGAGUCUCUGUGAGUGUGGUUGAGCAGCGAUCCUGUCAGCUGUGUGCAGAGCUUUGGUCCCAACAGCUUCAUUGCAUUUCUGGAGAUCUUAAGAGGCUCCAGGAGGAGAAAAACAUUCUGCAGGCUGAGGAGCUGAUCGAGUGGGCAUCAUUGCUGAGUGUCUUUCAUAAGGUACACUGAGCAGACAAAGGACCAUUUGAUGCCUGAAGGUUUUUACAUUCAGUGAGGCAAAAGACUUGUCCAAUGUCUGACAACGCCCUCACACAAGCCACAGCUCCAGCUGCCUGGUGUCUGCCUGGAUGUCUCGGGAGGUUGUUGGAAAGGGCAGGGAAAAUGCUGGCAGAGG
rnacentral:lncRNA from 1 species